GUACACUCCUACGGGAGGCAGCAGUGGGGAAUUUUGGACAAUGGGCGAAAGCCUGAUCCAGCAAUGCCGCGUGAGUGAAGAAGGCCUUCGGGUUGUAAAGCUCUUUUGUCAGGGAAGAAACGGUGAAAGCUAAUAUCUUUUGCUAAUGACGGUACCUGAAGAAUAAGCACCGGCUAACUACGUGCCAGCAGCCGCGGUAAUACGUAGGGUGCAAGCGUUAAUCGGAAUUACUGGGCGUAAAGCGUGCGCAGGCGGUUUUGUAAGUCUGAUGUGAAAUCCCCGGGCUCAACCUGGGAAUUGCAUUGGAGACUGCAAGGCUAGAAUCUGGCAGAGGGGGGUAGAAUUCCACGUGUAGCAGUGAAAUGCGUAGAUAUGUGGAGGAACACCGAUGGCGAAGGCAGCCCCCUGGGUCAAGAUUGACGCUCAUGCACGAAAGCGUGGGGAGCAAACAGGAUUAGAUACCCCAGUAGUCCCA
rnacentral:rRNA from 1 species